rnacentral:rRNA from 1 species
UACGUAGGUGGCUAGCGUUGUCCGGAUUUACUGGGCGUAAAGAGCGCGCAGGCGGUCGUUCAAGUCGAGUGUGAAAGCCCCCGGCUCAACUGGGGAGGGUCACUCGAUACUGGUCGACUCGAAGGCAGGAGAGGGAAGCGGAAUUCCCGGUGUAGUGGUGAAAUGCGUAGAUAUCGGGAGGAAGGCCGGUGGCGAAGGCGGCGCUCUGGAACGUUUCUGACACUGAGGCUCGAAAGCGUGGGGAGCAAACAGG